rnacentral:rRNA from 1 species
AUUGAACGCUGGCGGCAGGCUUAACACAUGCAAGUCGAGCGGAGAGAGGUAGCUUGCUACCGAUCUUAGCGGCGGACGGGUGAGUAAUGCUUAGGAAUCUGCCUAUUAGUGGGGGACAACAUUUCGAAAGGAAUGCUAAUACCGCAUACGUCCUACGGGAGAAAGCAGGGGAUCUUCGGACCUUGCGCUAAUAGAUGAGCCUAAGUCGGAUUAGCUAGUUGGUGGGGUAAAGGCCUACCAAGGCGACGAUCUGUAGCGGGUCUGAGAGGAUGAUCCGCCACAAUGGGACUGAGACACGGCCCAGACUCCUACGGGAGGCAGCAGUGGGGAAUAUUGGAAAAUGGGCGCAAGCCUGAUCCAGCCAUGCCGCGUGUGUGGAGAAGGCCUUAUGGUUGUAAAGCACUUUAAGCGAGGAGGAGGCUACUUUAGUUAAUACCUAGAGAUAGUGGACGUUACUCGCAGAAUAAGCACCGGCUAACUCUGUGCCAGCAGCCGCCGUAACAC